UCCCUGGUGGUCUAGUGGUUAAGACUCUGAGCUCCCAACCCAAGAGGUUUGGGUUCGAUCCCUGAUCAGGGAA
rnacentral:tRNA from 1 species